GCCGCCGUAGCUCAGUUGGUAGAGCACACCCUUGGUAAGGGUGAGGUCGUGGGUUCAAGUCCCAUCAGCGGCU
rnacentral:tRNA from 1 species